rnacentral:rRNA from 1 species
UACGUAGGGUGCAAGCGUUAAUCGGAGUUACUGGGCGUAAAGCGUGCGCAGGCGGUUCGGAAAGAGAGGUGUGAAAUCCCAGGGCUUAACCUUGGAACUGCACUUUUAACUACCGGGCUAGAGUACGUCAGAGGGGGGUAGAAUUCCACGUGUAGCAGUGAAAUGCGUAGAGAUGUGGAGGAAUACCGAUGGCGAAGGCAGCCCCCUGGGAUGAUACUGACGCUCAUGCACGAAAGCGUGGGGAGCAAACAGG